GAAAAAUCUGAAAAAAAAAUGAGAGAAACCGUGAGUUCAAGACUCCAGUUUUAUUCCGCGGUUGUCUAUUCAACAAAGUUGAGGAGAAACUAACAAUUGAAAUAGAAGCCGAGGAAUUUAUCGAGUUGUUUCUUUUUCAAAUCUGAAAUUCUCUCCCUGCAACAGAGGGUGACUUUCGUGCACGUCUUUUGAGGUUGGAACAUAAAGUUGAUUGAGGAGUUAGUGAACGAGGUUGAGCUGUGACGAGCGCGGUGGGUGUUGAGCAGAGC